UACGUAGGGACCAAGCGUUGUUCGGAUUUACUGGGCGUAAAGGGCGCGUAGGCGGCAAUUCAAGUCAUCUGUGAAAUCUCCGGGCUUAACCCGGAACGGUCAGGAUGAUACUGCUUUGCUAGAGUGCGGGAAGGGGCAAUCGGAAUUCUUGGUGUAGCGGUGAAAUGCGUAGAUAUCAAGAGGAACACCUGAGGUGAAGACGGGUUGCUGGGCCGACACUGACGCUGACAGCGCGAAAGCCAGGGGAGCAAACGGGG
rnacentral:rRNA from 1 species